CGUAGGGUGCGAGCGUUAAUCGGAAUUACUGGGCGUAAAGUGUGCGCAGGCGGCGCUGCAAGUCGAGUGUGAAAUCCCCGAGCUUAACUUGGGAAUUGCGCUCGAAACUACGGCGCUGGAGUAUGGCAGAGGAAGGUGGAAUUCCACGUGUGGCGGUGAAAUGCGUAGAGAUGUGGAGGAACACCGAUGGCGAAGGCAGCCUUCUGGGCCAAUACUGACGCUCAUGCACGAAAGCGUGGGGAGCAAACAGGAUUAGAUACCCUGGUAGUCCACGCCCUAAACGAUGAUGACUAGUUGUUGGAGGAGUUAAAUCCUUUAGUAACGCAGCUAACGCGUGAAGUCAUCCGCCUGGGGAGUACGGUCGCAAGAUUA
rnacentral:rRNA from 1 species